rnacentral:rRNA from 1 species
UACAGAGGGUGCAAGCGUUGCUCGGAUUUACUGGGCGUAAAGCGUGCGCAGACGGCUGAGCAAGUUGGACGUGAAAGCCUGGGGCUCAACCCCAGAAUUGCGUUCAAAACUACUCGGCUCGAGUAUGAGAGAGGGAAGUGGAAUUCCUGGUGUAGAGGUGAAAUUCGUAGAUAUCAGGAGGAACACCAGCGGCGAAGGCGGCUUCCUGGCUCAUUACUGACGUUCAGGCACGAAAGCGUGGGGAGCAAACAGG